AACGGGCGUAUUCUUACUCCGCAGUGAGCGUGCUUGGGCGAGAGUAGUACUAGGAUGGGUGACCUCCUGGGAAGUCCUCGUGUUGCAUUCCC
rnacentral:rRNA from 1 species